UAUAAAGACUCAGAAACAGCCUCGCUCUCUCUCACACACACACAGUCUUUGUGUGCGUGUAACACGCCCGUGACUGGCGACUGCGCGCUGUAACAGCCAAUGGGAUCUCAGCGCCACAGCUGGACAAAGACGUGAUCUAAAAAUAGCCAGACACAUGGCAGUCAUCCAGUCCGCUCCACUGACGUAAGACGUAAACGAGCGUUCGUGCCAUUCCCAGGGGACUGUACCCCAACAAACUGGCAACUCGUGUGUGUGUGUACCUUGUGCCACCUCCGGACAUGAAGGCAGAGAUCAGCUGCAGUAUCCCGUAGUCUACGUCCAGAGUGAACGCUGCUCACAGUUCGACCUAUUAGAUCCAUCUGCUCCCGCACGGGGAGGAGAAAAGCAGGUUGAUUCCUUUGACUGACAUUUUGUAAAUAGAUGGAAGAGGCUGGGCCUUAGGAACAAGCAGAGAUGGAGAUGCGUCUGUAUCCCGACCUCCGAGAGUUCUACAACGAGGGUUUCGUUGAGUACGGUUCCUCAGUCAACCUUUCCUUCGACGCCAUCGAGGCGCUUAUCCCCACAGCGCCGCCUCUUUCAGAACCUGACCUUGAACCCUACCAUGACAUUGACGGAGACAUCACCCUCAACAUCACGAGUCCAGAGGAGCCCGAGAAGGACUAUGACAUGGCAGAGGAGCCAGAGCCGGACUACGACAUCGACAAGCCGAUGGACGACCUAAACUUCAAUCGCUCAGAGGUGAAGAAGACCAAAGACAAAGUGCUGGAUUUCCUCAAGCACACAGGGGGAUAAAAAGGAUUUCAACAUCUGGAUGAAGUGGAGGAAGGAGGUCAACCAGCAGCUGCUCGCGGUCAUCCUGCUGAGGCAAGGUCACCGAGUGCACCUCAGCUCCACUGAACUGCAUCGCAAGCCGCUGUGUCGCCAUAGUGAGGCGUCCAUUGUGCGGGAGGCGACUGGGUGCAGCUGGGUAGAACGUCGCAAUAUAAACGGAGCGGAGAGGACUCGACUUCCGGGUCGCCCAUACAUCAUGUACGGGAUUCCCAGGGUCAGGCUUAGAUCAAAGGCGAAGUAGUGCUGCGUGUCACCAGACCUGUUAUCAAGUACAGGCGGAUUUAUCCCGAUGUCACCGCAGGUGUUUAUCUUGUUUCUUGGUGUCAUUGUGGAACUGUACUUUUGUCUUAUUCUCGGUGAAUUUUUUUCUUUUUUUGUUCAAUCCCGAGAGACCGACACAGACAGCUACGUUGUGAUGGAAAAUCAGUCUGCCGACUGAGUACAAAUAAGCUAUACAGUCGUUUCCAAAUAUCACAAACGCAUUUUUGUUUGUUUUUUCCUUGACGUCAUGAACUAUUGUGAGGUUGUGCUGAGUACAGGAGGACCUUUACCCUCUCUUUGAACUCGAGGGAAGAAAGAAAGUUGCGCCUUAUACAUGAGCUGUGAUUAUUAAGAGUCAUUUUUUCGCCCUCUCGGCUGAUGACGCACUCGACUGUAUUGUGGUAACUGUUUCCUGCCUAAUGUCGGCGGACCGCACGCGUGAUCUGUAGAAAAGAAGGCCAGGUGAUAAGCGCACCUCUUUAUUCGUCUGCUUUGUGAGCUUCAGUUCAAUGACACGUCUAGGUCGUAAUCAAAGAAGUCUCAUGUCUUUACAGGCAUGCUGUGUGUGUGUGACAGACAGACCAGACAGACAGACAGACAGACAGACAGAAGCUGUCUUGAAAUGGUAGCUUGAAAAGGGCUAACGUCUUUUUCUCCAUGAAUCUCAUGAGAUCGUGUUAGCGGUGGGGUGUGUAGGGGGGUAGUAUGUAACGCCUGUUUGCUUGCCUGUCCUUUUGAGAUUGACGGUAUGAGUUGGAGAGGAAAGACAGCCUUGCAUUGACUUGGAAUCCUUUUUGUUGAGACUGCAGCUGUACUGGGAUUAUCCUGUUUGGCGGAUGGAACACAUGCAAGAGACAGAUGUAGGCCUCUUUAGACAAAUCCUUUCAAACACGACGACGCUAAAGAUCGCCACACAGAAGGUCGAUGGCGAUAAUUUCAUCACACCCCAGAUGAAUGGAACAGCUGGCGAACUACAGUCUAUAAACCCUAGGGGGACAACAUAUAGUCAGUAGUGACGUGGGUGAGGUGUUUGAAGAUGUGGAUAUUUAUUUAUGGAUUCUCAAAGGGGUGAACAUAUGUGCACGUCAUGUGGUAACGUAUCGCAUAAGGCAUGCAGUUCUUAACAUGGGCAAUUUUAUUUGAACUUGACACUGUUGGUGCAUGAUCUUGAAUGACAGCAAACGCGAGAUUCAAAUUUGACAACUUGCUUGAGAAAUGGACAUUAUCCCCAUUUCGCAAACGAAGAAACGAAGUCUUUACAGCAACUUUUAAAGUAAAGUGAACUUGCACGAA
rnacentral:misc_RNA from 1 species